rnacentral:tRNA from 1 species
GCAGUGGUAGAAUUCUUGCUUUCCAUGCAUGAGACCUGGGUUCAAUUCCCAGCCACUGCA